rnacentral:rRNA from 1 species
CAAUAGCGUAUAUUAAAGUUGUUGCGGUAAAAAAGCUCGUAGUUGGAUUUCUGCUGAGGAUGGGCGGUCCGCUCACUGAGCGUGUAUCUGCUUCAGCCUUGGCAUCCUCUCGUUAAUCGUUUCUGCGCUUGAUUGCGUGGGGCGGGUGGCGGGACUUUUACUUUGAGGAAAUUAGAGUGUUCACGGCAGGCUAUCGCCAGAAUACAUUAGCAUGGAAUAAUACUAUAGGAUCUUGGUCCUAUUUUGUUGGUUUCUAGGAUUAAGAUAAUGAUUGAUAGGGAUAGUUGGGGGUGCUAGUAUUCAGCGGCCAGAGGUGAAAUUCUUGGAUUCGCUGAAGACUAACUUAUGCGAAAGCAUUCACCAAGGAUGUCUUCUUUAAUCAAGAACGAAAGUUGGGGGAUCGAAGAUGAUCAGAUACCAU